GAUGAACGCUGGCGGCGUGCCUAACACAUGCAAGUAGAACGCUGAAGGAGGAGCUUGCUCUUCUGGAUGAGUUGCGAACGGGUGAGUAACGCGUAGGUAACCUGCCUGGUAGCGGGGGAUAACUAUUGGAAACGAUAGCUAAUACCGCAUGACAACAGUUAUUGCAUGAUAACUGUUUAAAAGGGGCAACUGCUCCACUACCAGAUGGACCUGCGUUGUAUUAGCUAGUUGGUGAGGUAACGGCUCACCAAGGCGACGAUACAUAGCCGACCUGAGAGGGUGAUAGGCCACACUGGAACUGAGACACGGCCCAGACUCCUACGGGAGGCAGCAGUAGGGAAUCUUCGGCAAUGGACGGAAGUCUGACCGAGCAACGCCGCGUGAGUGAAGAAGGUGUUCGGAUCGUAAAGCUCUGUUGUAAGAGAAGAACGAGUGUGAGAGUGGAAGGUGCACACUGUGACGGUAUCUUACCAGAAAGGGACGGCUAACUACGU
rnacentral:rRNA from 1 species